GGAAACGGGUGGAUGGGGAGGGGGCCGCCACAUGGAUAGGCGAAGAAGGAAGCAAAACAGAAAGUCCCAAACAUGGGAGGCGUUCCACAACAACAAUAAGGGACUCGACUAAAAAACUUCAAUGCAAUACUAUACUCGACGAGUGUCUACGUGUCCGGCCACAUAUCUAAUAGAUGCGUGCGGAACCUUGUCGGAAGAUAGCUAGCAAAACAAACGGAUAGACGGACGACCGUUGUGUCAUCAGAAAUAUAGGUUGCCUGAGAUAAGCGUUCGAUUUGUUUGUCAACGACAGAUCGAGGACGAAACUCUCAACCUCGGAAGUGGACGGCACUUGGAAAUUUUAUUUCAAGGCCCACAAUUAAAUAAUUCAUGAGUACAGCGCGGAUGGGCACGUGGGUAUCAGCAGGGUAUAACCAACCGUUGGACCCUUCAAAUAAAACACGGAGGGGUGGAAUCGAAUUAAAAAGUAGGCCUAGGUGCUGCGCACUAACCUACACAACCACCCGCAUUGUGUACGGCCUACCUUUGUCCGUCAUGUCGUCCCGUCAAGUGAAAAAUAGAAACGAGUUACCGCUGGAAUCUCCUACCAGAUAAUUUCAGUUCCACAACCGGAUCGAGUAACAUUCGAGAAACCAAAAUUGUUAUUGUUGUUGUUGUUUUGAAAACCACGCGAAAACCUGUUUCUGUUUACAUCCAACCGUUCGCCGAAUCGCUGAAAGCCGCCGAGGGCUCUUUCGUUACACACGUGUUGCGUGCAUGUGAUGGAAGAACUGCGCAGUAUAUUUUGCCGGCACGACGAACUCAACGAACCUCCCGGGAGAGCAACAGCGCGCAGAAACCACCGACUAGAAUUAUCAAAAUGCACAUGGCAACCGAAAUUGUUAUCACCAUUUAAGGCACGUUGAUUCUUAAAUUUGUUUAUAAAAGAAGAAGAAUUCGAUGUGAAUAAUCUGAGAACAAAAACAAAAUAGCCGAUGAAGGACAAACGGUACGUGGCCUCGACCAGAAGAAGAAGAAGAAGGGAGUCGUCGGCAGCGAAACCAGUUUUUCAGAUGGCCUACGUGCUGUUUGAAACGUUCGCCCAGCAACAGAGAGAAAGAUACACGCCGUACAGUGCGUCGCGGUUGCUGCUGGCCUUAUCGAAGACCGAAACAACAACUCACUGCACCCAGACUGACUGAUGUUUUCAAUUUCUCUCUUCCCACCGGCAUUCAUCAGUUCGUUCCCUCUUUGCUCCACUUUUCUACACAUUGGGCAGAGAAAAAAGCUCAUGCUCUUUCGUGAAGCCGAAACAUUGUCACUCUUGUACAACCGCCGAUAAGAGUCAACAUCUGUUGGUGGGUUGGGGAUGUCUAUAGGGGGAAAUUCUAUAGGCCUCCAGCUGAGGGUAUUUUUGAAAUGUGUAAAAGUCAUUUUCCAACCACGACCUACUUCUUUUUUUUCCGUUGUGCACUGAGAAGAAGAAGCCGAGCUCCAGCAAAGGAGAAAAUAGAAUGUAGAGGGUUGCUUGAACUGCUGCAGUCGGCCUAAAUCACGAACUCAUUAUAUUUGUCUCUCCCCCCUACCAUUUCUUUUGCCAAGGGAAACUUUUUGAAGGAGCUAUAGGAAAACAAACUGGCAGAGACCUCGAGGUCUUUCAACCUGUCCUUUGACACGCGUUCCUCAUCUUGACAUGUUUCUCCUAGUAACAGCAGUAGCAGCUAUAGCCGGACAGGCUACUAUAUCAGAAUACCAACAACUCUACACAGUUGGCAAGAUAAGAAAAUGGUCUCCCUUAAAGCGGCUGUGAUAUUUAUUUACUCUUGUAAUCUUUUUUUAAAUAAAUAAUCUGCCGGGUGUAUCACAUGUAACGGGCGGCACAGGAUAUUCCAUUUGUUUCCACGGUUCUCACAGUGUGUGUAUCCGAGUGUACGUGUUGUUUGUAAACACAACUUUGAACCCCCCAGCACCAAUCACGCGAUAAUAUGCAUGCGUGUAGAGUCCCCAUCAUUUAAGGAUUUCUGUAACGUAAUAAAAAUAUAUUGCCAUUAGAUUUGAGGUUAUUUCAAUGUUUUAUUCUACGAUGACGCAUAUGAAUAUCAAAUGGAACAAAAAAAGGAGGGGCUGUGUUCUGUUUGCCAGUUGUUGUUGUUGUUUUCGUUUGGGGUUUCGUUCCCAGUUUCACCUGGGGACGACGCGCGGUUUCAGGUUUUCCCGUACGCAGCUGCGCUCAGACGUGCGUGUCAAACUUAUUUUGGAGACAGCUCAGCUUUAUAAGGUGACUCUCGAGUUUGUGUGUAUCUCCUACCAAAUUUGUUAUUCAAAAUAAAUAACGUUUCCGUCGGGAUU
rnacentral:lncRNA from 1 species